AGUCUGCAACCCGACUACAUGAAGCUGGAAUCGCUAGUAAUCGCAGGUCAGCAUACUGCGGUGAAUACGUUCCCGGGUCUUGUACACACCGCCCGUCACACCAUGGGAGCCGGAAAUGCCCGAAGCCAGUGACCCAACCUUAGGGAGGGAGCUGUCGAAGGUGGAGCCGGUAACUGGGGUGAAGUCGUAACAAGGUAGC
rnacentral:rRNA from 1 species